rnacentral:tmRNA from 1 species
CGCGUCCCCGGUGGGUUUGCGGGUGGCCUGCCGGAGGGCGUCAGAGACACCCGCUCGGGCUACCCGGUUGCACGGGAUCGGGUAGCCGACACCUGACCCGUGCUACCCUCGGGGAGCUUGCCCGUGGGUGACCCGAGGGGAAACCCAAAACACGGGCUAAGCCUGUAGAGCCUCGGAUGUGGCCGCCGUCCUCGGACGCGGGUUCGAUUCCCGCCGCCUCCACUA